AAGGCCUGGAAAGAAGAGCACUGUGUCUCUUGCUCUGCUCUCCUUGCAUAUGCCAAAGGAGACCCACAGCCAUGAGGACACUCACUCUGCUCAUCACCCUUCUCCUGCUGGCCCUCCACACCCAGGCAGAGUCUCCCCAAGAAAGAGCUAAGGCGGCUCCAGACCAGGAUAUGGUCAUGGAGGACCAGGAUAUUUUCAUAUCCUUUGGAGGGUAUAAAGGCACUGUUCUCCAAGAUGCAGUUGUGAAGGCAGGUCAAGCCUGCUAUUGCAGAAUCGGAGCCUGUGUUUCUGGAGAACGGCUCACUGGGGCAUGUGGUCUCAAUGGCCGCAUCUACCGUCUCUGUUGCCGCUGAGCAAGAAGAAGGAGGAGGAGGAAGAGGAGGAGAAGGAGGAGAAGAAGCCAUUUGUCAUAUGACUUGAAGGAGACUGUUACUUGUCCCAUGUUAUGUCCUUGAGUUUUCUCUUUCUUUAUAUCCAAAUAAAUUUCUUAUAGCAAGUU
rnacentral:lncRNA from 1 species